rnacentral:rRNA from 1 species
ACGAACGCUGGCGGCAGGCUUCACACAUGCAAGUCGAACGCCCCGCAAGGGGAGUGGCAGACGGGUGAGUAACGCGUGGGAACAUACCCUUUUCUACGGAAUAGCUCUGGGAAACUGGAAUUAAUACCGUAUACGCCCUACGGGGGAAAGAUUUAUCGGGGAAGGAUUGGCCCGCGUUGGAUUAGCUAGUUGGUGGGGUAAAGGCCUACCAAGGCGACGAUCCAUAGCUGGUCUGAGAGGAUGAUCAGCCACAUUGGGACUGAGACACGGCCCAAACUCCUACGGGAGGCAGCAGUGGGGAAUAUUGGACAAUGGGCGCAAGCCUGAUCCAGCCAUGCCGCGUGAGUGAUGAAGGCCUUAGGGUUGUAAAGCUCUUUCACCGAUGAAGAUAAUGACGGUAGUCGGAGAAGAAGCCCCGGCUAACUUCGUG